GAUGAACGCUGGCGGCGUGCCUACUACAUGCAAGUCGAGCGAACAGACGAGGAGCUUGCUCCUCUGACGUUAGCGGCGGACGGGUGAGUAACACGUGGAUAACCUACCUAUAAGACUGGGAUAACUUCGGGAAACCGGAGCUAAUACCGGAUAAUAUAUUGAACCGCAUGGUUCAAUAGUGAAAGACGGUUUUGCUGUCACUUAUAGAUGGAUCCGCGCCGCAUUAGCUAGUUGGUAAGGUAACGGCUUACCAAGGCAACGAUGCGUAGCCGACCUGAGAGGGUGAUCGGCCACACUGGAACUGAGACACGGUCCAGACUCCUACGGGAGGCAGCAGUAGGGAAUCUUCCGCAAUGGGCGAAAGCCUGACGGAGCAACGCCGCGUGAGUGAUGAAGGUCUUCGGAUCGUAAAACUCUGUUAUUAGGGAAGAACAAAUGUGUAAGUAACUAUGCACGCCUUGACGGUACCUAAUCAGAAAGCCACGGCUAACUACGUG
rnacentral:rRNA from 1 species